AGAACGUGUGUGUACUGUUUUGUUGAGAUCUGUUGUGACUUAUUUAACAUCUCUUCCUGUUUCACAGGUUAAAGACUUUUUGAAGUAAAGAGGAGCAUCUCAUCUGAACCUGAUGUCUAUCAUGGAUAUUUAACUGCAGUUCUAGCCAGACCUCCACCUCCUCAACCAGAGCCAGACCUCCACCUCCUGUCAGAAGUCCUCCAGAACAGCUGAAAGGCGAGGCUGAGAGGCUGGGGACCGGAGGCUUGUGGUGCCACAAUUUACGUUUGUAAACAGACCAGGAAUCUGGAG